rnacentral:rRNA from 1 species
GGGUUAGUAGGUUGGUCAUGCCUCUGGUAUGUACUGGUCAUAUUGGUUCUCACCUUCUAAGGAACCAUAAUGUCAUUCAUUUGAUGUUUUGGGGAAUUAGGACUGUUACCUUGAAAAAAUUAGAGUGUUUAAAGCAAGCUAACGCUUGAAUACAUUAGCAUGGAAUAAUGAAAUAGGACGUUCGAUCCUAUUUUGUUGGUUUCUAGGAUUGACGUA